CAGUCCUCCUCGCCGCCCGCCGCCGCCUGCCCUCCCAUUCUCCCUCUCCUCCUACCUCGACGCUCCUCCCCGCCGGCUGGGGCCCUCGCUGGAGCGGCCGGUGCCUAGUGCCGCGGCGCCCUUGCUGGGACGGCCCGCCCAGCCUUGCGUCCCCCCUCUCGAUGCGGCCGGUGCCACGGCUUGCGCGGCCGGCCCCAAGCACCGUGGUCCCCUGCCUGACGCAGCCAGCCCCCAGCCUCGCGGGCCCCUGGCUGCCGCGACCGGCGCACAGGCUCAACGACGGUGCCGAUCCGGCGACACUGCUGUGGCACGGACGACGAAUACCUGGAUCCGGCGGACCCUCCAUGGCUCGACCCGCCCCGCGGCUCGCUGCUCACCUGGGUCGGGCAGCCUCUCGGUGGCUUGGGCUUCCUCCGACGCACUCUUGGCGGUGCUGUGCCGCUGCGACUGGGGCGCCUGCACCGCUGUCGCGCGAGCGUGGCGGAGGCGGGGUGCCGGCACCGUGGAGGACGGUCUACGCCAAGUCGCCAGGCUAGGCACCCUGUCCGCGCACUGUGUCCUCGUGAGGGGAGUGUCGCCUCGAUCCCGCACGCGCACUCGCUCAACCUCGAUGAAAUUACUGACAAAUAGCUCACAGAUUGCAGUAUGCGCCAUCAGUUUGCUUGCUUUGAAAUUUCACUGAUUAUUGGAACUGACCCCGUCUGAUAUAUGCUUUUCCUAGGAAGAAACUUACGAGUUUCGAGUAUGUGGAGUCUAAUGGAAAAGAUGUUGGUCUCAACGUUCCAAAGAAUCCUUAAACAGUUCUAGCCAUUGUGGAUUAUAGGGAGAUGGUCUCACCGUGUGAAAGAAGGCUGAAACAGUUCUAGCCAUUGUGGAUGAUUGGGAGAAACUUCAACCAAGUCAUUGAGAAGGCUGCUGCUAAUAAGGCAUUCACGUCUGACUUACUGAUGCAGCACUAUUCUUUUAGCAGAUUAGCAGAAUUCUCAUCUUGACAUGGAUGGACCUCAUUGUAGGUACUUCGGUUUGUCAUCGGCUGAGAUAUUACUGCCGUCCUAGGAAAGAAAGUACAAUCCUACAGUGGAUUAGAGGUUUGGGCUGGGCUGCGCAGCAACAACAAGGCUGCUAUUCUCUAGAAUCGGUAGGACUACCAUGAAACUAUCACCACACAAUGGUCAAACAUCGGGUGUAUACAGAGGGGGGGAGGGGUGGAGUGGUCUGUGAUGCUUGGGACCAGUAUCUUGGGAUGGAGCAUACUGACACUGCACUCUACAUGCUGUAUACAGUGAAACAGAGGUUUCAGCAGUAAGCAAAGCCGUGUUGCCGAGAUCACAGCCUCAAAGAUAAGGUGCUGGAGUUGUUGUUUCUCUUGCUAUCCUCUAGAUUUGUGUGCCUAGAACUAGAAGAUAGGAGUAAGAUCAAUGAAUGAACUUGAUCAGUCCAAUUCACCAGGUCUAUUUGAUCAUCUUUUGGUAAAUGAAGACCAAACAUGUAAUUGAUGCAGAUCAUUGCUACCUUGCCUAACCUUUUUUACAUUGCUAAUAUAAUUAUUAUUAUUGUGUGAGCUCAACUUCCAUUAUCUAUAUCUGAUAUAUUAUGAGCUAUAGAAAAGCAAAAUCUUGCCUGUACUUCCACCAUCUGGAACCAUGCAUAUCUCACCAUGCAUAUCUCAGGUUCAAAUACUGCAAAUUAGUUGUUUAGUAGUAGUUAAAAAAGUUAAUGUCUUUUUUAUUCCGGGCUCCUGAGGGGAAUUGAUUUAAUUUAAAGAGAUCUUUGGAUCUUAUCAUUUUUCUAGAUGCAUGUGGGAUAGGCUCAUGAUUUGUACUGAUGCAGUGAUGACGCCGAUUUUUGUAGAAAGUUGGCAAAGGGGGAAUCAGUCAUGGUGUUGCCUGGGACUGCCUUAGGCGUUUAAAACUGGCUGCACAUAACCUUUGCUUCGGAUCCAGCAAAGCUGAAGCAAGGAAAGGUUGAGAUGCUGGACAGAACCCUGAUGCAUAGGAAAGCCUGGUGCUCUUGGAUGUGUUGUAAUAUUCAUUAUUCAACAGACAUCUAAUGGCUAGGCCUAUGAUAGCUUCGUGAUCGGAUAUGUUGUAGUAUUUAUGAUUCAAAUGCCGGAUAGAUAUCUAUAUUGCCAUGCAUAUAGUUUAACUAAUACUUUUUGUUGUCUUAUAAUUACUGAUA